CGGCACGGGUGCGUAACGCGUAUGCGACCUACCAUCAACAGGGGGAUAACACUGAGAAAUUGGUACUAAUACCCCAUAAUAUCUCAUGCGGCAUCGCAUGGGGUUGAAAACUCCGGUGGUUGAUGAUGGGCAUGCGUUGUAUUAGCUGGUUGGUGAGGUAACGGCUCACCAAGGCGACGAUACAUAGGGGGACUGAGAGGUUAACCCCCCACAUUGGCACUGAGACACGGACCAAACUCCUACGGGAGGCAGCAG
rnacentral:rRNA from 1 species